CUUUGGUAAAGAAAAAUAAAGCUGGGACCAAACUGGAAGCUCCCCCCAUCCCUCACUGGCUGGCUUUCCUGGAUCCUGAAGGUUCUCUGAGAGCUGUCUGGGUUCCUGCCUUUCUGAGUCUCUCCACCGGAAUGACCUAGAGGAUGCUCAAUAAAUAGAAGCACAAGUCACCUCCUCUACCAAGCUUGAGUCAUCCCUUUCUGUGCACAAAACCUGUGCUUGGAGCUGCAGACAGGAAGCAGGUCAGAACCCAUUCCUCCCUCCAGAGAAACUAUCCCCCAGUCUUUCCCGCUUUGAUUAGGGACCAUGCAGACAUUGUUCCCUUUCUUCAACUGAUCUCAAAUACAUGAUCUUUAAAUAAAUGU